rfam:Niastella koreensis GR20-10, complete genome.
GAUGGGGAAGCCGAAAACCAUAAAAUCGAGUAGGCG